ACGGUGGGGGUCUGGGGGAUGCUGGCAUGUAGACGAACCUCAUCAUUCAAAGCUGUUUUCCCAGCACCAGCUGGGGCAGCUGCGUCCUUCUCUCCAACUUCCUGAGGCUUCCCUGAGUCACUGCCCAGCUCCAAGGCUGGCAACACCCUUCCCCUGCUCUCCCAUCCACCCUUCCCUCGGCAAGAGGGGAGGAGGAAGAAACCUGAAGGGAUCUGAUGCUCCCCCCAUCCCAGAUGCAGUUCCACAUCCUCCCCUCCAGCCUCAGGAUGGCCGACCUUCGAGCCUCCCUCCUGGCCUGGAAAGGAAGGCAGAGGAUCGUCCCGCUCUCAGCAGCAUCUGAGAUGAGCAGGACGGCUCCAGGCAGUGGAUCUAUGCCCUGGCCCCAUCCCCAGUGACAGCCCAUCUUCCACCUCUGAGACAGCGAAGAGCGGUUGUCUGGCUGCAGCAGGUACCCUUCCACACAGCCACACGUGAAGGAACCAUCUGUGUUGGUGCACAGCUGGCUGCAGGUGCCAUAAACCGAGCACUCGUCAAAGUCUGCCGGGAAAAGGCGAGAGC